GUUAGCUUUACUUCAAUUUCCUUGGAAAAAUUGGUUCAGCCUAUGCCUUUUGUGUCUCAACUCUCUCACAAACCUAUGCUACAGGAUUGCAGAAAACAAGUAAUAACAUGCAAGAACUCUGACAAUAUAAUGAAGAAAGUGAGAUAUCGGUGGUUAAGUGAAGACAGAAGAUAUAAAGUACUUGUAUAGAUCAUGAGUGCUUGAAAUGAUUAACUUUUAAAAAUUAAGUGAUUAACUUUUUUCAUUUUAUUUAUUUUUUAUUUUAUUUUAGAAAUUUUUAUUUAAAGUGAUUAACUCUUACCCAAAGAGAAAUCCCCUCAAAGACAUUGGAAUGUUGUCCCCCUCUUGUCUAAUUAUCUCCUGACAAGUGGGCAUCCCACUUCUUGCCUCUAUUACUUUGACAUAUAAUAAAUGCUUUUUGACUGACU
rnacentral:lncRNA from 1 species